UACACUUUUUUCUGAACUUUU
rnacentral:piRNA from 1 species